rnacentral:rRNA from 1 species
ACUCACUUGACUAGCUGAGAGGAGGUGCAUGGCCGUCGUCAGUUCGUACUGUGAAGCAUCCUGUUAAGUCAGGCAACGAGCGAGACCCACGCCAACAGUUGCCAGCUCGUCCUCCGGGAUGGUGGGGACACUGUUGGGACCGCCUCUGCUAAAGAGGAGGAAGGAAUGGGCAACGGUAGGUCAGCAUGCCCCGAAUUAUCUGGGCUACACGCGGGCUACAAUGGGUGGGACAAUGGGUAUCGACACCGAAAGGUGAAGGCAAUCUCCUAAACCCAUCCGUAGUUCGGAUUGUGGGCUGCAACUCGCCCACAUGAAGCUGGAAUCUGUAGUAAUCGUGUCUCAAAAUGGCACGGUGAAUAUGUCCCUGCUCCUU